GCGCUGAGAGCUGCAGCUGCAGCAAUGAGCGAAUCUCAUGACAGAAGACCAAAUGAAGCAGAUGGAGUUACAUCAUUUGUUUGUGUUUUCACGCACAAUUAGUAGGAUAAUUCAGUGCCACUCUGUGUUUUCCGUGAUACCCUGUCGUUUGGUGAUAAUAUCUGCGUUCCUGCUGACCAGAGAAGCUGCUGACGCUCUCCAGGUGAUUGGUGGAAGUGUGACAGUGGUUCAAGGAGGCACCGCUAUCUUACCGUGCCAUGUCAUCAAUACCAAUGAUGUCCUGACACAGAUUACCUGGCAGAGGAAGACAAGAGAAAAACCUCGCAAUGACAAUUUCCUAACUAUCUUACCCAGAAAUGGAGUGCAGUUUGUUAAUGGAGGUGAUGAUCGAUUUAAAUAUAUCGGGAAUUUUAACAAUAAAAAUGGAACUCUCCAGUUAUCCAAUGUUACCCUGAAGGAUGAAGGCAGCUACACGUGCAUCUUCACCUUGUUUCCCAGUGGAAAUCAGAAGACAGAAAUACCUCUGAACUUGCUUGUGCCUCCUUUCACAAACAUCAAGGACAAUCUUCCCACUUUGGGCACAGAAGAGGUUUUAUUUGCUACCUGCACGGCUGUUGGCUCGAAGCCUCCUGCAGAGGUGAGGUGGCUCACUGAUGCUUUGGGAGACAAAGUGAGGACGACAACAAACUCCACCCAGUAUGACAACGGUACGACUACCACAGUCAGCUCUGUGUUUGGUGUUCCUAUGAGAGAGAUUAACGGUCACCAGGUCCAGUGUGUCAUCAGUGGUGACUCCCUGUCUACAGAAAAAAGUCUGCCCUUCACCAUACAGGUCUACUUCUCACCCACAGAAGUGAACAUUAGAGCAAUUUCAGAGGACUCGUUUGAGUGUGUGACAGAAGCCAACCCAAAUGCAAAAUUUAACUGGAGCAGAUAUGGCCAGUCUUUGCGGCAGCCUGGUGUCAAAGCAGAUGGUGCAAAGCUACAAAUGCUGAGUCUUACCUCUGAUCUAAACGGCCUUUAUCAGUGUGAAGCAUCUAAUACAUAUGGAAGUAAACACGGUCAGCUCUAUGUGCGUGUGGCAUCAGGAGCAUGUUCUGCUGCUUGGGCCUUAUUUGGUCUUUUGCUUUCCCUGAAUGUCAUUGGAGUUACAGCAUCGUGCUUUUAUAAAUAUGGAUGUUUUCAAAGUAGUGGUGUAUGGGGGCAAAAAUUGUGAAUUGUAUUCACAUGGCAUCAGGCAGAGUGUCCUAACAACUGAAGCAGGUGUUGACGCAACGGAGCAAGAACAGCAGGGAGAGGAAUUUGUCUGACAGUUAUGGAAGGUAUGAAGUCAAAUGGAGGAGCAACUGGAAUGCUUGCACUUCACUCUUAUGGAAUUUUUUUGAUCAUCAUACCAAAUAUAUAAAUAGACUAACAGAUCAUUCUCAGUGAUAUGACUUUUUUCUGCAAACCUUAUCACGCCUGUAGUUUUUGUUGAACACUCGAGGAUGUGGACAAGUGGGUGAAACAUUUGUCUGACAGAUAACUCAAGCAGAGAAAAACAUCCUUGCAAAAGUGUUGAACUUUUCUGUGUCCACUGUUUCGAACAGUGAUUCGAAACAACACCAUUGCAGAUGUGGAUGCAGAGCAACUACAGAUGAAAGUUUCAGCCUGUCUCAGUAAUGCAAAGGCCCCAGCAUCAGACAUAAUGUAGACUUGUAGUCAAGACCGCCUAAACCGAGACCAAGACAAUACCGAGACGAGACCAAGACCGAGACAAAAAAGUCUUUAAACUGCAGCCAGAUGCUGCUUCGUUUACAGGUGUCAGGCAUAUUUAUGUGUUUUUGCGAUGCACUCGCACAGCCCUCCUCACCGCUGUCUACUGUCUCACUCACUUACUGAGAGGACAGACGCACGCUCCACUUGACUGUCGCAUCUCUCACCCUCUCUGUUUUUCACAUAAUGAUAUUAUCCUAUAUCCUCACAUGUGAUUCGUCACAAUAUGGAGGGAUUGGAGCACAGCUGAGCCACUGUGUGAGAGCUGAGCAGCAAAAGGAAAUUAAGUGAGGAGCCGGCUCUCGCUCAAUGGGAGUCGACUCUUCUGAUUCACUACAAAGCACUCUCUAAGCACAGCUCUUAGAGCUGAUGCUUUUGCGCAUGACACAUUAUCAAACAUUACGUUGUGUGUCAUGGAUACUGCUGACUCCAGAGGCAGAGCCAGACAAUUUAUAAACCCUUUAUAAUUUAUUUUAGCCCUAAAGGGUAGUAUGCAUGUGGGAUGGGGAGGGGAAAUGACUGAAAGAUUUAUUAGGCUCUGUUUUGAGUUUUGUUCAAAAAAGAAUGACUUCAUGACUUCAGGAAAAAUAUAUAUAUCACAUAUGCAGGACACCUUAAACUAGUUGUUUUAAUUAAGCAGCAAGGCAGAACAAAGUCGGGGCUGUAUCAAGACACGCGGACUAAACCCCAAUUCAACCAGACCCAGAACUGAUCUGGAAUUAAAACAGGACUACAACAGUUCAAAAUCAGGACUACUGAGGACUUAACCAAGACAGAACCAGAAUCAAAACUAGAUGAUAGUAGCACUAAAAAUCAUCAUAGACCUGCACUACACUUAUUUUUUAAUUCUACCAAAGUACACUAUUUAGAUUGAGAAAAGUUUAGAUAAUUAUUUAGCCUUGUUGUGCAAACAAGCCUGCAUAACUUAAUAAAUACAGAAUUUGAAAAGUAACAAAUGGUAUCUAAAAAGAGACACAAGGUACUAGAUACAUGUAGAUUGAUAAAUAUAAAAAACAUAUUUGUUAACUUGAAGAGUAAAGAGAGAAACUAUCUGUAUUUCUUAAUUAUAAAUGGCACCAAAUUGUAUUCAAAAUUGAGCCACACUUAUGGAGGUCCACAAUUCUUUUCCUGGUGUUUUGGUUGACAUCUCUUGAAUUUCCCAUGUCACAGAAACAGGUUCUGUGUUUUGCCUUAUAUGCAUCCACAGGUGUGCCACCAAUUUACUCACGUGGACUCUACUAACCUAUCAGAAGCUUCUUCAGCUCAGAAUGGAAUCGUCUGGAGUUUUCUUAUUAAUUAACAAUAAACUUAGUGUAUAUGUACUCCUAAAUUUGAUGAAAGUGAUAAAAAAUAGACAGCUCUGUCUCUCUUUAUUCUGACAUUUAACUAAUUC